rnacentral:rRNA from 1 species
AUUGCCCUAGUAACGGCGAGUGAAGCGGCAACAGCUCAAAUUUGAAAUCUGGCCUUCUUUGGGGGUCCGAGUUGUAAUUUGCAGAGGGUGCUUUGGUGUUGACAGCGGUCUAAGUUCCUUGGAACAGGACGUCACAGAGGGUGAGAAUCCCGUACGUGGUCGCUUGCCUCCGCCGUGUAAAGCCCCCUUCGACGAGUCGAGUUGUUUGGGAAUGCAGCUCUAAAUGGGAGGUAAAUUUCUUCUAAAGCUAAAUACUGGCCAGAGACCGAUAGCGCACAAGUAGAGUGAUCGAAAGAUGAAAAGCACUUUGGAAAGAGAGUCAAACAGCACGUGAAAUUGUUGAAAGGGAAGCGCUUGCAGCCAGACUUGCCCGUAGUUGCUCACCCGGACUUUUGCCCGGGGCACUCUUCUGCGGGCAGGCCAGCAUCAGUUUGGGCGACCGGAUAACGGCCUCUGUCAUGUAUCUUCCUUCGGGAUGACCUUAUAGGGGAGGCGUAAUGCGGCCAGCCCGGACUGAGGUCCGCGCUUCGGCUAGGAUGCUGGCGUAAUGGCUGUAAGCGGCCCGUCUUGAAACACGGACCAAGGAGUCUAACAUCUAUGCGAGUGUUUGGGUGUCAAGCCCGGGCGCGUAAUGAAAGUGAACGGAGGUGGGAACCCUUUCGGGGGCGCACCAUCGACCGAUCCUGAUGUCUUCGGAUGGAUUUGAGUAAGAGCAUAGCUGUUGGGACCCGAAAGAUGGUGAACUAUGCUUGAAUAGGGUGAAGCCAGAGGAAACUCUGGUGGAGGCUCGCAGCGGUUCUGACGUGCAAAUCGAUCGUCAAAUUUGGGCAUAUGGGCGAAAGACUAAUCGAACUAUCUAGUAGCUGGUUCCUGCCGAUCUCUCCUCU